rnacentral:lncRNA from 7 species
AAUUUGAUCUUUCUUUGACAGGUACAAGUUAUUUCCUUCACUGCUGCUCCAGUUUCCCUGUUUGAAACAUCAGCUCAUUCUCCUGAAGGGAAGGCCGCAGCAUUUUCUUUUUUUUUUUUCUUGAACCAUCAACACAUCCUUGCACCCACAAUGUCACCUCGUUGAAGUGAGCAGUUAUGAGUGCCUGAGUACACGCGCAUUGAAUCAAAACCUCCUGGAAAAGAACAGUGCCAGGGUGAUGUGUCAGUGUGGGAUCUGUGGUGUGGGUAUGCUGGUGCUGGGCCCUAGCAGCACUCUGAUACUGCAUCCUGUGGGAUGGAGAGGAGAGCUGCUAGAGUUGCACCGAAGAAGCACUACCGAUGCUGAGGAGAACCAUUUUCAAAGCAGGUGUUGGGGAUCUGGGGGCAUUCAGCAUCAGCUGUGCAUCCAGGAGAUUGCUGACUUCUUCCCAAGGAGCUGAAAUCUCAUUCUUCUCUGUUUUAACGAAGCUUGCUGAUGCCCUUUUCUCUCAUUUGGUAAUCGGCUGAACUUCCUGGGAAAGGAACAGGAAAUGAGUGGAAGGAUCAGAGGCAGCAGAAAGGUGUGAGCUGGGCGACUUGCUGCUGAAAUAGGUGAAGGAGAAGGGUGAACCAGCCCUUCUGCAUUUCCCCUGCAGAAAGCAUUAAAGUGCAUACCUAAAAGAGGUUUCUAAAAGUUCAAGAGGUGAGGAGAAGCACUGGAAUGGAAAUCUCAUAGUGAUGGACCCUCACUGUGACAUUUUGAUGCUCUCUGGAGAGAAAUAUGGGCAUUUUGCUUCUCCCACCUUUGAGCUGAAGUAGUACACCAGCUGAAGUCCUUCACUCUUCUGUAUUUGAAAGGGUUUCAUUUUUGAUAAAGGUUCAGUGUUACAAAGAGAUACCAAAUCUUCAUGUGCCCUGUGCUUCAGCAAAGUACCGAUAACAGCAAUAAACCCCCUAACGUGAGAUGUUCUGGGGUUAUCUCUGAGGAAGGCUCCUCUUCAUUCGGCUGCCAAUUGCAAAUGAACCUAGUUAUAAAAUUUCUCUUUAUUGCCACCUUUCCAUAUCCCUGAGGUUAAUUCUGAAAUAUGCAUGAAAUGUAAUUAGUGCAGAUCCAUUUCUGCCAGCACGUUUUACACAAGUGGCUCCCGGUGGCAGAUCUGGAUGUAUUCAUAAUAAAAUGAUUCAGUUAAAU